CUUUUUAGUUUUCUCAGCAGGUGAGGUGAACUUCCAGAAGGAAGCCCCGUGGUAAUACCAGAUCUCUGUACCCAGAAUGUUGGACCUGCUUCUCCAGUGGAAGCUGCAUGCAGAUGGAGGGUGGUCUCAGGACAAACUGGGUUGCAGCAAGCAAAUCAGAUAUUAAACCAAGAGCCUGUCUCCGUGAAGCUUCUUCACAAAACUUCAUGCUUAGGAACUUCUGGGAAUCAUCAAAUCAAUAAAGAAGCGUGCUGCCCUGUUUUCGUGAGAGCUGACAAAAGCUGCAGCAUGUUUCUUGAAAAGGAUGAGGUUAAGCUGGAGCUUGGAUGUGCUUUAAAAAAAAA
rnacentral:lncRNA from 1 species